rnacentral:rRNA from 1 species
UACACUCCUACGGGAGGCAGCAGUGGGGAAUUUUACGCAAUGGGGGAAACCCUGACGUAGCGACACCGCGUGAGCGAAGAAGCCCUUUGGGGUGUAAAGCUCUGUCAGCUGGAACGAAAACAAUGACGGUACCAGCAGAGGAAGCAUCGGCUAACUACGUGCCAGCAGCCGCGGUAAGACGUAGGAUGCGAGCGUUGUCCGGAUUUAUUGGGCGUAAAGAGUUCGUAGGUGGUUUGUUAAGUUUGGUGUUAAAGAUCGGGGCUCAACCCUGGGACUGCACUGAAUACUGGCAGACUCGAGUGUGGUAGAGGCUAGUGGAAUUCCCAGUGUAGCGGUGAAAUGCGUAGAUAUUGGGAAGAACACCGGUGGCGUAGGCGACUAGCUGGGCCAUAACUGACGCUGAGGAACGAAAGCCAGGGGAGCGAAUGGGAUUAGAAACCCCAGUAGUCCC